AAGUCGUAACAUGGUUUCUGUAGGUGAACCUGCGGCAGGAUCAUUAACACGUAUCCAAACGUUAAGACCCCCCCCGUGAACCUUUAUCCUGCUCUUGUAACCCGCGUAGUUCGCAAUCUCUGAUAAAUCAUAGCCCGGAAAGUUGUAGUGAUUCAGAGACCUCUGGCUACGUGCGAACAAGCAGUCAGUGUCGGAAAGUGUCAUUGAUUGUGCAAGGAUAGCGCUUCUACGAUUCCUGUAGACCGUACACUCGGGCAGGAGCUUUGCCAAAGGGUCCCCAUGCCCCGUAAUAACCCCACAGUUUAAUGUGAAGCUCAAUGUAAUACAUUGGGUAAAAAAACCGAACAACUGUUAACAAUGGAUAUCUUGGUUCUC
rnacentral:misc_RNA from 1 species